CCACUCCUUUCAGCUCAUGCUAAAGCGGGAGUUGACUCCUCCCACACUAAGGAAACAGGAGGGGAGGGGUCAGCUGAGCCCCUGUGCAGCGGAGUACAGAGGGAGAGAGACGAAAAGAACAAGUCCUGCUGAAGACGUGACUGACAUUGUUUAAUGGUUUUGCAUAUAAAUACCAUCAGAGUAAAAAGGUUCAGUUGGCAUCCUGAUAACAAACCUGAGCAAGGCCACAGGACCACAUUUGUUAUUUUUUUUUUUUAUUGAAAAGUGACUUUUUGUAUUAAGUUACAGUAUGUUUGCACAAUAAAUAUAAGGUGUUUUUUUUAAA